CCAAGCAAUCACAAAGCGAGGCUGGGAGGAAUUUGGCUAGAGACCCAGGGCCUGCUGGGAGCAAUGCAGGGCUGGAUUUGAGAACAGUAAGCUACAGCAGCGCGGCACAAGGACCAGAGGGUAAACAUCACUGUCCUUAGAGUCAACUCCAUGAAGUCAUGCAUGUUUGCAGCCUGAUGACACAGCACAGAGCCUGAUCUUAGGAAGCAGGAUCUCCCUAAGUACCUGAUGCCUGACAGAGUCCUGUGAGUCUGUGACUGUCACUACGAACGAUGGCACCCUCACGUCACACCCUGCUUAAAGACCUGAGGUUCCCCAGCAUCUGCACAGGAAACUGAGGCCCGGAAACGAUGAAAGAGGGCUGAGUGAGUGGAGGGUAGAUAGGAAAGGGAUGUGACAAGGGCUGGGUGUGCCUCGCCACAAAUCACACUGAUUUCUCAGUCAGCCCUGUCAGAGAAAGGGAAAUCGUCAGAAGUGGCUGGAUUCACCCUAUUGCCUCCCUACAUUCUGGAAAAUAGUAUCCCCCUUUGCUUUCCACAGCCUCGACUUUCUUCAUCGCCCCUGGCGACAGGCCCACUCCUUCAGAAUAAAGGGAAGA